ACCAGGUAGUACAUAUUCACCUAAAAACCCAAAGUCGAACAAACUCUUCAAAUUAUGAGAUCCACAAUGGACAAAACCGUUUUCACAGCGAUCCUGCUAGUAGCUGGGUGCACAGGAUUUAUACAGGAGCUAACCCUCUACCAGGGACUUAAUUGCGCCGGACCCGCGGUAACUUUCCAAACCAAAGAGGCAAACUUGACCAAUUGGGACUUCUUUCUUCCAUCGGUGCAAUCCUGGAAGGCUCAUGGCUGGUGGCGAUUCUAUAGCGGAACAGAAUUUAAUCCUUACACAUAGGGCACGGGUUAGAGGCCCACGCCAAGUUGUGUUAACACUACGUCGGCGGUGCGAUCCUCAAAGUCACUACGAUUCUCUGGUCCCCUGGAGUCUGCCACCCCCGCCCUUGCUGUUUACGAGUUUGGUGGUGCAGCAGGCAGAGAAGAAAUCUUUACGACAGGGGCUGCAAAUAAUUUUGGGUAUAUAGCUAAUUACGCGAUGGCUUUUGGUACUUCAACCUGGACACUGUACUCCAAUGACAAUUUCACCGGAACUCCUAUCUGCAUUUCUGGAGGGGGAGAGAUGGCAGAGAGGGCGGUAGUUUUUCGGUCGGCCAUUAUCGGAUGUCACGCACAAUAUGGGUCGGGCUAUGUUCCCGUUAUUGGAAAGGAACCGGAGUUUCAUUUUGAUUAAUUAUGUCACUUUAAAUAUUUCAAUGGUGAAAUUUUCCUUUCUUGCAUUACUUCCAAUUCGUUGCAUGAACAAUUUUCAAUACUUCUACCUUAUUACAUAUUACUCUUUGUGUCUUCAUGUGUUGAUAAAAUAAAUCUGUAACUUUAUUGAGCAAAAUA